rnacentral:rRNA from 1 species
GAUGAACGCUGGCGGCGUGCUUAACACAUGCAAGUCGAACGAGGUCCAACCUUCGGGUGAAGACCUAGUAGCGAACGGGUGAGUAACACGUGGGGAACCUGCCCUUCUCUCUGGGAUAACGUCGAGAAAUCGGUGAUAAUACCGGAUACUCCUUGCGGAUCGCAUGGUCUGCUCGGGAAAGCUCCGGCGGAGAUGGAUGGCCCCGCGGCCCAUUAGCUAGUUGGUGAGGUAACGGCCAACCAAGGCGACGAUGGAUAGCCGAGCUGAGAGGCUGAUCGGCCACACUGGGACUGAGACACGGCCCAGACUCCUACGGGAGGCAGCAGUGGGGAAUUUUGCACAAUGGGCGCAAGCCUGAUGCAGCAACGCCGCGUGCGGGAUGAAGGCCCUCGGGUUGUAAACCGCUUUCAGCAGGGACGAAACUGACGGUACCUGCAGAAGAAGCCCCGGCUAACUACGUGCCAGCAGCCGCGGUAAGAC